UGGUGGAAAACGAGUCCAACGUGCUGC
rnacentral:piRNA from 1 species